GACGAACGCUGGCGGCGUGCCUAAUACAUGCAAGUUGAGCGAUGAAGAUUGGUGCUUGCACCAAUUUGAAGAGCAGCGAACGGGUGAGUAACGCGUGGGGAAUCUGCCUUUGAGCGGGGGACAACAUUUGGAAACGAAUGCUAAUACCGCAUAACAACUUUAAACAUAAGUUUUAAGUUUGAAAGAUGCAAUUGCAUCACUCAAAGAUGAUCCCGCGUUGUAUUAGCUAGUUGGUGAGGUAAAGGCUCACCAAGGCGAUGAUACAUAGCCGACCUGAGAGGGUGAUCGGCCACAUUGGGACUGAGACACGGCCCAAACUCCUACGGGAGGCAGCAGUAGGGAAUCCUCGGCAACGGACGAAAGUCUGACCGAGCAACGCCGCGUGAGGGAAGAAGGGUUUCGGAUCGUAAAACUCUGUUGGUAGAGAAGAACGUUGGUGAGAGUGGAAAGCUCAUCAAGUGACGGUAACUACCCAGAAAGGGACGGCUAACUACGUG
rnacentral:rRNA from 1 species